rnacentral:rRNA from 1 species
GACGAACGCUGGCGGCGUGCUUAACACAUGCAAGUCGAACGGAAAGGCCUGCUUUCCCUUGUGGAUUGCGGGUACUCGAGUGGCGAACGGGUGAGUAACACGUGAGUGAUCUGCCCCCAACUUGGGUAUAAGCCUGGGAAACUGGGUCUAAUUCCCGAUAGGACUGCAGGGUGGUGCCUGUGGUGGAAAACGAUUUUCUAGUGGUUGGGGAUGAGCUCGCGGCCUAUCAGCUUGUUGGUGGGGUAAUGGCCUACCAAGGCGGCGACGGGUAGCCGGCCUGAGAGGGUGGACGGCCACAUUGGGACUGAGAUCCGGCCCAGACUCCUACGGGAGGCAGCAGUGGGGAAUAUUGCACAAUGGGCGGAAGCCUGAUGCAGCGACGCUGCGUGGGGGAUGACGGCCUUCGGGUUGUAAACUCCUUUCGACCGCGAGGAAGCCACCUGGUUGGAAGGGUGGUGACGGUAGUGGUAGAAGAAGCACCGGCUAACUACGUG